GACGAACGCUGGCGGCGUGCUUAACACAUGCAAGUCGAACGGAAAGGCCCUGCUUUUGUGGGGUGCUCGAGUGGCGAACGGGUGAGUAACACGUGAGUAACCUGCCCUUGACUUUGGGAUAACUUCAGGAAACUGGGGCUAAUACCGGAUAGGAGCUCCUGCUGCAUGGUGGGGGUUGGAAAGUUUCGGCGGUUGGGGAUGGACUCGCGGCUUAUCAGCUUGUUGGUGGGGUAGUGGCUUACCAAGGCUUUGACGGGUAGCCGGCCUGAGAGGGUGACCGGCCACAUUGGGACUGAGAUACGGCCCAGACGCCUACGGGAGGCAGCAGUGGGGAAUAUUGCAGAAUGGGCGGAAGCCUGAUGCAGCAACGCCGCGUGCGGGAUGACGGGCUUCGGGUUGUAAACCGCUUUCGCCGGUGACGAAGCGUGAGUGACGGUAAUGGGUAAAGAAGCACCGGCUAACUACGUG
rnacentral:rRNA from 1 species